rnacentral:lncRNA from 13 species
GGAAAAAUGAGUGCCUGGCCCUGUCCUCUGCUGUGGAGCUUAACCAUGGUGUGUCUAACAGGUAUUGCUUUAGGUCAGACAACCAGCACUGAAGCUGCCAUUUCAUCAACUCUAGCACCUCCCAGUGCAACCAGCACUGGGGUUCCCAUUUUAUCAACCCCAGCACCUCCCAGUGCAACCAGCACUGAGGUCGCCAUUGCAUCCACCCCAGCAGCCCCCAGUGCAACCAGCACUGAGGUCCCCAUUGCAUCCACCCCAGCAGCCCCCAGUGCAACCACUGCUGUGGCCUCUGCUCCCCCAGCGGCUCCUGCAACACUCUCAGCUGGACUGACACCAACCACUGCAAACCCUGCUGCAUCCACAGCAGCUCCAUCUGCUGAUCCAAGCACAGAAACCCCUGCCCAGACUCUGCCCACUACCAUGGGGACUGUCCCCACCUCUGGCAGCACGGCCGCCUCUCAAGCGUCUGCAGGACUGACGGCCACAUCCAGCAGUGCCCCAGUGUCCUCUCCAGGAGUGACCACAUCCCCUGGGGUCCCGUCGGCAGCUCCGCUCCCCACCACCCCCCAGCCCUCCAACUGCAGCAGAGUGAAUGUGACAGCCUGUGCCCGCUGCCCCCCAGGGACAGUCCCCAACCAAGGCACCUUGAGCUGCUCGUGCUGCAUGGGGGGCUUGUGCACAGACCCCAGUGCCUGCACACCCUGCCUACCAGGCCACUACCAGCCCCAAAGUGGGCAACCAUCCUGCCUGCCCUGCCCACAGGGGUAUUACACCAGCUUCCCAAGAAGCACCGUGUGCCUUCCCUGCCCGCCUGGACAUUUUGCUAAUGAGCCUGGGGCUGCAGCCUGCAGAGCCUGUGAGCGAGGCUAUUUUAGCUCCAAGCAAAAUGCAGCUUUUUGUCUGCCUUGCCAGCCAGGAUCAUUUUGCAACACCACCAGCUGCUCGGCCUGCCUGCCCUGCCCCGGGGGGCAAGAGGCUCCUCGGGAGGCGUCGGAGGGGUGCGAGUCCUGCCCGCCAGGUACAUUCAAAGGUCUCAGUGACAACAGGUGCAAGGCCUGCAGGACAGGAGAGUACCAAUUACAACGGGGCAAGGAGAGCUGUGACCUGUGCCCAGAAAACCACUACUGCCCUAGCCCAGAUGUGAACCCCAUCAAGUGCCCUCCUGAUGCCUUCUGCCCCAGGGGCAGUGUGGAGCCCACCUACUGCACGGACCUCUUCCUGUACAAGGUGGGGGACUCCUGCCAGCUGACCCCUGCCAUGAUCAUUGUCCUGGCCACCUUCUCAGCAGGUGCAAUCCUUGUUGUCUUUCUAAUAAUUCUGAGGAGGCGGCAAGAGCAUGGCAAGAAAUCCUUGAAGUCCCUGUUGCUGCCCCGGGGCUCGGGAGGACACACCACAUACGGGGGCACAGAGGACACAGAGCCAGUCUAUGCUGGCUGGUAGCACAGGCCAUGAUCAGCAGCCACCGGCCUCUCUUUCCCCUGGGGCAACACAGAUGUGGAACUGGGCAAGAUGUUUAACCACGAGCAACCUAUUUCUGUAUAGCUAAAAUCAGUGCUGGGAAAUAAAACUCAAGUUUUUAGCUGUGGCUACAUGUGCAAACCAGCCCAGCUCCCUGCUCUGCUGCACUGGGCUGACGGACAAGGUCUUCCCCUUCCAAUUUCUGGCUUCUUUCACAAGUAAAUACUUUUCUCCUUUCUUCAGGACAUUCCCACACAGGUGCUGUGUAAACCCAGCCCAGCCAGCUGUGACCCUUUGUGUCAGUGCUAUGCUUCACCAGCUCUCCACUGCCAGUAAAAUCAGAAUCUCUGUCAAAAGAUCCACGAUUUUAAAUGACUGCAGAUAGGUGGGAGCAGGUGUUACUUCUCACUUUAGUCUUGCAGCAGCAGAGGUAGCUGAAGUGACCCAGCUGGGGGGGGGUUAGGUGAUUCUUGCCCUCAGCUGCUCAUUCUCUCCCCAGGGAAGGUGUUAAAAGUGCUUAAAAAAAUUUAUAAAUGUAUCAGUUCUCUGAUCUCUCUCAACUGUAUCAGGCAAAUAACUGGGUGGAAGAGUGGCACAUCAGCCACUGUGGUCAGACAGGGUGCCCAGAGAGGCUGUGGCUGCCUCGUGCCUGGAAAUGUUCAAGGUGAUGUUGGACAGGGCUUGGAGCAACCUGGUCCAGAGGAAGGUGUCCCUGCCCAUGGCAGCAGGUUGGAAGUGGAUGGUCUUUAAGGUCCCUUCCAACCCAAACCAUUCUGUGACUCUAAUCUGGAUCAGCAGCAACAGGGAUGGUACCUACAACCCAGCACCCAGCAUGGACAGAGCUCCCUGCAGUCUCUCCCUCUGUGUAUUUAGGAGAGACAUGAAAUUUCUCAGCUGGCCCAAGGCUGUGGUUUUCCUGGGAGCAGCAGAGGGACACAAUCCUGAUGCACAGCCCCAGGUGACCUCAGCAGAACCUUAAGCCACCAGAAUCAAAGCAGGUCUCUGAAAUGCUUUUUGAAAAAAUGUAGCUGCUGUCACAGGUGGGAGACUUCACAAGUGAAGCCAAACCAGACCCAAAAAAAACCUAUCUGACAAAGCCAAACAGUAAAAUUCAGACCUGACCAAGGAGGACCAGCACUUGUGACAGCAGAAGGACCCCGAGGGAGCGGUGCUGGCUGGGCUGGGUAGCUCCAGCUCCGUGUCACUAAAGCCUGUAAAAUGAUGAGCAACAGAGAGCAGCACUGGAAAAACUGGACUGCAAGAAACGUCAGCAUUUCUGUGAUAAGCAACAGUGUGAAAACAAGCCAAAGCACAAUCAUUAUCACCUCCAUGGAAGUGUAAAACAGUAUUUCCAGGGUGUCUCUUAGGAAGGCCUGGAGUGUAAGUUUUCCCUAUGAGAGAACAAAGCCCUGUUCCCUCGCUGCCAAACUAUGCUGGCUUAGUAUGUAACAAUUUAACUUUUUUCUUUAAAGAAAAAAAAUAGUGCCAAAAAAAGCAUAUAGAGCUGUUUUACAAAAGAGACUUAGCAACUCCUUAAAUAACUAGGAAUAGAAUUCAACAUUUAAUAAGACAUUGACGUUUCUCAAGCAGUCAGACAUGGAAUAAUGAGACUCAACAAUGUGGAAAAAUCCCAUUAAUACGUCUUUCAAGAUAUUUUGCUUUUCCAAGUAAUUAAUAUAAAAAAACCUCCUAAAACCUGACCAUGAACACAAAGCUAUUGAACAAAACAGACAUUUACUUUGAUUAUUUUCCUAGGUUGUAUGAAAAUACAUCUAACAUAUUCAUCUGAAAAUUGUUUCCAUGCUUGCUCAUGUGAUAAAAGAACAACAAAUUCUGAAAUUGGCUGUCAUGUAUCAGCUUUUUGCUGGAAAAGGAAAGACAUUUUGCUACUUUGACGGGCAAGACACAAAGAACAUCAUUUAAGGCCACAUAAUAUGCCACAGUUAGAUGUUGUUUAGAUUAAUUUAUAACAGAAAAUCCUUCAAGUUGCUGAAUGCUAAAAAGUAUUAAGUUGCAUCAUGAGAAAGCUCAAGUCUUAAGGAUUGUUUUACCUUGUAUUUCAACAGUGGGAAAAUGAAAACAAUGUCACAACUUUUCUUUGUCUUCUUUUUAAAACAAAACUUUAGCCUGGUUUCCCAGGCUGCAGAGUAAGGUACAGAAGCCUUCAUUACAAUGCACCUAAACCCCACCUGUCCUGGUACAGAAACCAGAACUCUCCCAGAUCACCACCUGAGUGCCUGAGCUGAGCUCACAGGGUUACGUGGCCAGUACGUAGCAAGGGAGAAUAUGAUCCACAUUCCUUCUCAAGAUCAGUCUACAGGACGUGCCCAGCAGAAGGAAUGAAUUUCUAGGAACUCACAAAUGAAGUCCCGGUCUGCAGUCUCAGGGAUGCAGAACUCCGUGGGCCCAGAGAGUGGAGCAGUAAAGAGCAGGGAGAGGUAGAAGGAAGCAGAAGGUCAAACAGCCCCUGGCUCAGAUCUGUUUGUGUGGACAUAAAGAGUCUCUCUGUCCCCACAGGCAGACACAAGGGGUGGCUGUCCUGCAUCCUGCCGUGCUGAAUGUGCUUGUGAGCCCCGCAGAGGGGGCAGGGAGCUGUGGGCUCCGUGCCCCAUCCCAAACCCCCAUGGGUGCUGUCACUGCAGCAGUGCCUGUCAGUAACUGAGACAGUGGCUUCUGGAAGUGGGGAUCUGCCUCUUAGGAACUGGGGCAUCACUGUUCCAGAGUGACAGAGCUGUUACACCUACACGUGAAGAGGAAAAAGCAACAAAACAACUAAAAAUAUUAACAAAUUAUAAAAGCAAUGGAAUGUAAAGGAAAAAUUUUAUAAUAACUUAUUUAAAUGCAUUCUUACAAAGCCUUCCUUACAUGGUAUAGUAUUUAAAGAAUGGUCCCAAUGACAUCAAAUUCCUUCAUUUUGUUUUAAAGCAAUGAGGAAAGUAUUUCUGCUUUACUACCUGACCUCGUUUUCCUUCCCUUGAAGCCCAAUACUAGAGAAACAUCCAUAAUAUCAUUUUUUGGUUUUGAUUUUAGGCACAGGACUGUUCUUCAGUCCCAUGGCAGAGCAAAAGUUUCCCUCAAAAUCAAUUAAGGAAUCUUGAAUUUUAACUUGAGUGCAAGGCUUGGCAUACCAUUUUAAAAAAUGCAAACAUGUAACACUUGCCCUGAUUUUGAACUGUGCUAUUUCUUCAAAAUUAUUAAAAAAAAAUUAACCUUCCAACAGUGUUUAUAAAAACUGAUUCAAAAAAACAAAGCAUUUUGGUCACAAAACAGAAACCAAAGUGUUCAGCAUAGGGCAAUGCAACAUCUAUAACCUCUUUCAAUUAAUAUUUUCUAAUAAAACCAAAAUUUUUAUGUGUUGGGAAUAAAUGAGGAUUUUAGUAAUUCCAAAAACUAAAUCAAAUCCUGAAGAAAUACCUUGGAAAAAACCCCAUACACUUCCAUGAUACAGCAAGGCUUCAGUCUCAAAAGGGCUACACACAGAGUUUCUGCACUAUUAAGGGCAAACUAAGCUAGAACAUACACAAAUGGCUAAAUGGACAUGGAGGUGCACGUGCUCUUUAGGAGGGUGGGUCACAAUGGCACAACGCAAAACGUGCUUGGAACGCUGCCGAAUCACACGCCAAGGACGUGCACUGGGAACUAAACUGGCAAAGAUGUUUUUCUUUACCGUUUUUUCCUAGUUCUAGGAUUAUUUCCAUCAAUGCUAAGCCUUGUAUAUUCAUCUCACUGUUAGUGAGAACCUAACGCUAACGGGAGUGAGGAAUUCAAAACAACUUUGCUGACACAACAGUGGUGACAGGAUAGUCGAGAGCAGAGCUCCUAAAAAUGUAACAAAAAAUUUCAGUCUGUCAAGUCAAGAAGCCUGUUUUAUACAAACAUUAGUUUUAUACAAAAAGGAACAGUCAGGCUAAAUUUCACAUCAAAAUUCUUAUGUGCUUCUUCAAAAAUCUAUUUCACUUUUACUUAAUUGUUUUGAAUUUAGUUUUUGCACUUUAGUCAAGUUUCACUUUCUGUUUCAUUCAUGGGGGUGGUUUUGCUCCUUGUUGGGCAUUUCUUGCAUUAUCAUAAAGUUGAAAUGCUUGGACUCCUAACAUUCCAAAGAAAAGUUUGCCUCUGCAUUUUACCUGACAUUAAGGAAAAAAAAAAAUCAAGUAAUCUUUUCCAAAUAAUAGCUUUUGUAAGAUUUAUUUUUAUUAAGACACAAAAAUCCUAUAUUAUUGGGCCUAGAUUGCAAGACAAUAUCCCUUUAAGUCCAGACCUGUACAGCUCUGCAAGAUCAAGUAACUUCUAUUUUGCUGGGAUGAAAUACAGGAAAAAACAGUAUAGAAAAAAAUCUCUUACAAAGUAAGAUUCCCCCUCUCUGGUACAGGGUGUGCCUUUCCCACCACGCACCAUAUUUCUUGGUGGAAGGAUAUUUAUGAUUAUGAUAGCUUAAGAAUCAUUUUUGAAGAGCACAAACCAAUUGUUGUGUGUGUGGCUGUAGCGAGAGACGCACCUGGGUCGUGACUGGCAUUCAAGCACUUGCUCAAAAACACACAAGGCAAGCAAAUCUCAUUGGGACCACAGACCAAGCCAUUUCUUACUCAAAAGGACUUGAGAACUAACAACUUCUUUCAAGGAUAUACUAUUUUAAACAUCUGUUGGUUGACAAAUACUAUCUCAACAAGACUAUGUUUAAGCCUACCUGGUUUGAUUUUAACCUACCUCCAACCUGCAAGUAUUUUGGAGGGAACAUUUUACAUUCGUAACAAUUCAAGUGUAACUGUAAUGCUGAGUAAUAAGCUUGGUUUGUCCUGAAGUUUGCUGAACUAUGCAGUUCGUUAUCAGUGCAGAAGCAGCAGAAGACUGCUGUGGUUGGCUCAGUGGAUUUAUAAAAACAAAACAAAAAAAUCCCCCCCCAUUGUAACCUUUACAGAAUAUAUGUAAAAUUGUGUCCUUCCCUGGUCAUAUUCACAACUUAUCUACAAGAUAGUGUUAGCA